rnacentral:piRNA from 1 species
UGGNGAUGCCUGAUAUUCCGUGGCUUAGUU